UCAAAAUGCAUCCUUUUCUUACGGUCUCAUCCAAUGGUCCGGAUUUAACUUCUUCAUGCGUUACCAAAUCAUCUUCGACGGAGUUAUUCGCUUCAUUAAAUCUCAUUCAUGCGGUGAAAGUCUCAGACGUUUCGUUCGUCAGCCUUGAGUUCACUCACUGGCCGUUUUUCUUUUUGGUAAUCAAUGGGGUUAAACCCACACAAUAUAUCUUUCCAGACGAUUCAUUAUAAUCCCAGUUCAGUGGAAUCAUAAACCGCAUGAAGAAUAUGUUCAAUUGAUCCAUUAUAAUAUCAGGGAUUCUCCGUUUUGGCAAAACGCAAUCAUGUAAUUUCAGGAUUCUGCUACUUUGGUUGUGAAGGGAGUGCACCAUACUGUCAUCCGUCAUAUAAACGUUUGAAUUUCGUAAAUGAAAUCGAUGUGAUGGAUUAGCUUCGCAUUCUUGAUGAGUACUGAUGGGAACUUUGGGAAUUCAUUCAGUCAUGGAUCAUAUGACGGACCAAUUGCACAUGCUCGCUUUUAAGUUGGUGAACAAAUGACUUUUGCUUCAAAGAUAUUAGACAUAAGAUGUAAACAUAUCAAUUGUGAUUCAUAAGAUUUGGCCAGAUCAGUUGUUUCUUGACCAAGUUUGAAAGUUGCAGUCGUCAUGGAAAACUUUGAGACUCAAACUAUAUCUUGCUUUAGGAAAAUGUUCAACUGCCUAAUGAUCAAUAAUCAGAUUUCUUGCCAGGACUCUUUUGAAAAGUUGAGGUGAUUAAUAGGGGUAUAAUUGCAAUUGGAGGAGAACAAUAUUUGUAACUGUUUUGCAUAACAAAUCUUUCUUUUUGCGUUUCUUUUUUUGAUGCCUUGCUGCGGUGGACUUAUGUAUUUUAACUUUUCUAAAAGCUAUUCACACCUCUAUAAAAACGGAAUUCUAUAGAAGGAGAGCUUCCAUUAUCUAUAAAGAUCACCGCAGUAGCAUCAAAGUUUGUUAUUUGUUUGUUUAGGUGUACGUAAAAACUUCACAGCUAUUGAUAAAAAAAACAACAACUUCUCAGCUGAUACGUCGAUACUUUGGGUCGGUCUUCAGUAUAUAUAUAUAUAUA